CACGUAGGGCGCAAGCGUUGUCCGGAAUUAUUGGGCGUAAAGAGCUCGUAGGUGGUUUGUUACGUCUGCUGUGAAAACCUAGGGCUUAACCCCGGGCGUGCAGUGGAUACGGGCAGGCUGGAGGCAGGCAGGGGAGAAUGGAAUUCCCGGUGGUAGCGGUGAAUGCGGCAGAAUAUCGGGAGGAACACCGGUGGCGAAAGGCGG
rnacentral:rRNA from 1 species